rnacentral:rRNA from 1 species
GGUUAAGCGACUAAGCGUACACGGUGGAUGCCCUGGCAGUCAGAGGCGAUGAAGGACGUGCUAAUCUGCGAUAAGCGUCGGUAAGGUGAUAUGAACCGUUAUAACCGGCGAUUUCCGAAUGGGGAAACCCAGUGUGUUUCGACACACUAUCAUUAACUGAAUCCAUAGGUUAAUGAGGCGAACCGGGGGAACUGAAACAUCUAAGUACCCCGAGGAAAAGAAAUCAACCGAGAUUCCCCCAGUAGCGGCGAGCGAACGGGGAGCAGCCCAGAGCCUGAAUCAGUGUGUGUGUUAGUGGAAGCGUCUGGAAAGGCGCGCGAUACAGGGUGACAGCCCCGUACACAAAAAUGCACAUGCUGUGAGCUCGAUGAGUAGGGCGGGACACGUGGUAUCCUGUCUGAAUAUGGGGGGACCAUCCUCCAAGGCUAAAUACUCCUGACUGACCGAUAGUGAACCAGUACCGUGAGGGAAAGGCGAAAAGAACCCCGGCGAGGGGAGUGAAAAAGAACCUGAAACCGUGUACGUACAAGCAGUGGGAGCACGCUUAGGCGUGUGACUGCGUACCUUUUGUAUAAUGGGUCAGCGACUUAUAUUCUGUAGCAAGGUUAACCGAAUAGGGGAGCCGAAGGGAAACCGAGUCUUAACUGGGCGUUAAGUUGCAGGGUAUAGACCCGAAACCCGGUGAUCUAGCCAUGGGCAGGUUGAAGGUUGGGUAACACUAACUGGAGGACCGAACCGACUAAUGUUGAAAAAUUAGCGGAUGACUUGUGGCUGGGGGUGAAAGGCCAAUCAAACCGGGAGAUAGCUGGUUCUCCCCGAAAGCUAUUUAGGUAGCGCCUCGUGAAUUCAUCUCCGGGGGUAGAGCACUGUUUCGGCAAGGGGGUCAUCCCGACUUACCAACCCGAUGCAAACUGCGAAUACCGGAGAAUGUUAUCACGGGAGACACACGGCGGGUGCUAACGUCCGUCGUGAAGAGGGAAACAACCCAGACCGCCAGCUAAGGUCCCAAAGUCAUGGUUAAGUGGGAAACGAUGUGGGAAGGCCCAGACAGCCAGGAUGUUGGCUUAGAAGCAGCCAUCAUUUAAAGAAAGCGUAAUAGCUCACUGGUCGAGUCGGCCUGCGCGGAAGAUGUAACGGGGCUAAACCAUGCACCGAAGCUGCGGCAGCGACACUAUGUGUUGUUGGGUAGGGGAGCGUUCUGUAAGCCUGUGAAGGUGUACUGUGAGGUAUGCUGGAGGUAUCAGAAGUGCGAAUGCUGACAUAAGUAACGAUAAAGCGGGUGAAAAGCCCGCUCGCCGGAAGACCAAGGGUUCCUGUCCAACGUUAAUCGGGGCAGGGUGAGUCGACCCCUAAGGCGAGGCCGAAAGGCGUAGUCGAUGGGAAACAGGUUAAUAUUCCUGUACUUGGUGUUACUGCGAAGGGGGGACGGAGAAGGCUAUGUUGGCCGGGCGACGGUUGUCCCGGUUUAAGCGUGUAGGCUGGUUUUCCAGGCAAAUCCGGAAAAUCAAGGCUGAGGCGUGAUGACGAGGCACUACGGUGCUGAAGCAACAAAUGCCCUGCUUCCAGGAAAAGCCUCUAAGCAUCAGGUAACAUCAAAUCGUACCCCAAACCGACACAGGUGGUCAGGUAGAGAAUACCAAGGCGCUUGAGAGAACUCGGGUGAAGGAACUAGGCAAAAUGGUGCCGUAACUUCGGGAGAAGGCACGCUGAUAUGUAGGUGAAGUCCCUCGCGGAUGGAGCUGAAAUCAGUCGAAGAUACCAGCUGGCUGCAACUGUUUAUUAAAAACACAGCACUGUGCAAACACGAAAGUGGACGUAUACGGUGUGACGCCUGCCCGGUGCCGGAAGGUUAAUUGAUGGGGUUAGCCGCAAGGCGAAGCUCUUGAUCGAAGCCCCGGUAAACGGCGGCCGUAACUAUAACGGUCCUAAGGUAGCGAAAUUCCUUGUCGGGUAAGUUCCGACCUGCACGAAUGGCGUAAUGAUGGCCAGGCUGUCUCCACCCGAGACUCAGUGAAAUUGAACUCGCUGUGAAGAUGCAGUGUACCCGCGGCAAGACGGAAAGACCCCGUGAACCUUUACUAUAGCUUGACACUGAACAUUGAGCCUUGAUGUGUAGGAUAGGUGGGAGGCUUUGAAGUGUGGACGCCAGUCUGCAUGGAGCCGACCUUGAAAUACCACCCUUUAAUGUUUGAUGUUCUAACGUUGACCCGUAAUCCGGGUUGCGGACAGUGUCUGGUGGGUAGUUUGACUGGGGCGGUCUCCUCCUAAAGAGUAACGGAGGAGCACGAAGGUUGGCUAAUCCUGGUCGGACAUCAGGAGGUUAGUGUAAUGGCAUAAGCCAGCUUGACUGCGAGCGUGACGGCGCGAGCAGGUGCGAAAGCAGGUCAUAGUGAUCCGGUGGUUCUGAAUGGAAGGGCCAUCGCUCAACGGAUAAAAGGUACUCCGGGGAUAACAGGCUGAUACCGCCCAAGAGUUCAUAUCGACGGCGGUGUUUGGCACCUCGAUGUCGGCUCAUCACAUCCUGGGGCUGAAGUAGGUCCCAAGGGUAUGGCUGUUCGCCAUUUAAAGUGGUACGCGAGCUGGGUUUAGAACGUCGUGAGACAGUUCGGUCCCUAUCUGCCGUGGGCGCUGGAGAACUGAGGGGGGGCUGCUCCUAGUACGAGAGGACCGGAGUGGACGCAUCACUGGUGUUCGGGUUGUCAUGCCAAUGGCACUGCCCGGUAGCUAAAUGCGGAAGAGAUAAGUGCUGAAAGCAUCUAAGCACGAAACUUGCCCCGAGAUGAGUUCUCCCUGACUCCUUGAGAGUCCUGAAGGAACGUUGAAGACGACGACGUUGAUAGGCCGGGUGUGUAAGCGCAGCGAUGCGUUGAGCUAACCGGUACUAAUGAACCGUGAGGCUUAACCUU